rnacentral:tRNA from 2 species
GAAAAAGUACAUAGGAACUGCUAAUCCCUAUAACCCGUGUAUAAUAACACGGCUUUUUCG